CUCCUUCAGGCUGAGAAGAGAAGUACAAAGUACAAAGAUGCUGCAGAUUUGUCACCAAAUCGAGGAAAUGUUUGAAGAUUUAUUAGCGUGGACUACGUUCGAAGAACUUGUUAAACUUUAAGGAUAAGGUUAGGGGUCGUGCCGGUGAGUGUGGCCGUGCCACCGAUGCUGGCAGAGUAACACACACUCAGACUCAUCCCUUUGGUCAGAUGCUCAUACUUGGCCUCCAUCGCUUUUCUCCUGGACUCCUGCAUUGCUUCUCGACUACACUCAUGUUGAUCUGGAGCCCAAGAAAUUCAUUUCUCUCAUCUCAAGCUCAAAUGCAGGGUUGUCCUCGGCUGCAUCCUGGAAAUCUUGUUCGUCUGCCCGAGCCUCUGUGGCUUUCAGCUGCUGCAGCACGGCAUGGGCAAUGGGCAGCAUCAUGGCCGUGGUGGCUGUG